UUUAUUACGUACCGUCAAACGGGGUAACUUGCAACAGCGGGGUAACUUGCAACACUUGGACUUAUUCGUGUUUGGACUUAUUUUUAGACGCUUAUAUAUUUUUUCAUAACAUGUCACUCUGGCGGUCGAAACGAGAAUGUAUUUUGACACAUUUCGACGAAUAGCUUGUUGUUGUUUACCUUUUUUGUGCAGAGUUAGCGGACAGGUAAAGUGUGUCACGAUUUUCACUAAAAAACAAGCUGUGAAAUCGUUCCCUGCUACACUUAAACGCCGUGUGAUAACAUGCCUCGGAAAAUCAAAAGAAAGCUGGGAGCUCGCUCCUACGCUAACUUUUCC